UGUUUAUUUUUUGCGGUUAACCCCUAAUUUUUCUAUUUUUUCUUCACUUCAAACCAUUUCAUUGUAGCAGUGAAGCAAAUGUAACGAGUUAGUGUACGAGUAAACCAAAGGGAGCGAAUUUUUCUAGCAUUGGAAGAAAGGAAGAUUCACGAGCUUGAAGCAGAAAUUGAAGUCAUGGUUUUUGACAGUCUCCCUCGUGACAGUAGAACAAGAGGUCCUGAAUAUUUACCGGAGUCGGAUCGUUUCUCAAUUCGAAUGCACACGUGCUUAAUUGGUUCUAACAGUGGUUAUAGGGAUAGGGUGAUAGGUUAUGUUGAUAAUGUUUGUAUUGAUAGAGUAUUUUUUCAGGAGGUGUUGAGUAUGGGUAGAGAUUUAGGAUUAGAGGUCGAAAAUUAUGAGUUCUUUUGGAGGGAUACUAAUUCUGAUAUUCAAUUGCACACUCUAGGUUCAAAGGACAGGCACUUAAAGAUGAAUUGUGAAGGUGUGCUAGGGCUAGCUAUGAGGCACGGUCUGAAUUAGCUAUGAAGACAUUAGGUGAAAUGUCAAAAGGUGCUUAUAACUAUUUGCAUAGUAUUUCUCCAUGUCAUUGGACUAGGGCACAUUUUAGAGAUAGCUUUAAGUGUGACAUGCUUUUGAAUAACUUAUGUGAGAGUUUCCAUAAUUUUAUUUUAGAUUGUAGGAGUAAAGGGAUUAUAACAAUAAUGAAAAGAAUUCAAAAAAAGAGGGUAGUGAUGUUGAAGUCAGUUGAGCUAGUUAAUUGUCCAAAAAUCUUAAAAAAGGUAGAAAAGGCAAGGAAAAUAAGCUGGUACUAUCAGGCAACUUGAUCUAUGGUGGACAAGUUAGAAAAGACUUGUGCUUGUAGAUGGUGGCAAUUGACUGGAAUACCGUGCCACCACGCCAUAUCAGCUAUACAUAUUAAUAACUAUUGCCCAGAAAGCUACCUAGAUGAUUGCUACAAGGUUUCCACUUAUUUGAAAAUUUAUAGUCACUACUUGAACCCGACUAAUGGUAAGGAACAGUGGCCUAAAAGUGAUCUGCCCAGCAUGAAACCUCCACAACCACUCAACCUAAGGCGAAGAAGAAGAGAUGAUUGGUGCAAACAUACCUGAAGGUCAGCCUGGAAAAGUCAGUAGAAGGGGCACAAAAAUGACAUGUACCAUAUGUGGAGCAAAAGGACAUAACAAAAGACGUCAUGGGAGCAAUAUAGAGCCAAGAAAUGAUCAACCAAGAGCUAAUGUUGGAUCUGCAGUGGAUGCAUGAUGUGAGUUUGUUUAUUUGAUAUAAAAUACUUACUUGUUAUGUUGGAGUGUAGGGCAGCAGCAGGACUGCUCAAGGAAGUAGGCCUGAUUUGUACACUCAAGAAGCAGAACCAUCUGCUGUAAAUGAGCAUGAAACAGCACCAACUGAGCAUGAACCAACACCUCUCGGAGCACCUCCACCAGCACCAACACCUUCACCUUCACCUUCACCAACACCAACACCAACACCUACACCUUCGCCAGCAUCUGCAACAAAAAAGGCAGCAGCAAAUGAACCUGCACCUCCACCUGUGCCAGCGACAUCAAAGAGAUUUAGAAAGGCUCCUGCACCGACUUCCCUGAAGCUCCGUACGCCAACUGCUGCCAGCUCUGCAAAUGCUCCUGUACCGGUUGCUCGAACUCUUCGUACACUAGCUGCUUGAGCACUUCAUGCUCCAAAACUUCGCACGCCAGCUGCCGCUACAUCAAGUGCAAAUCCAUUUGCUACAAAGACUGCUAUAACCUUGAAUGAGCCCUCACCAAAGGGACAACUUGGGUGCCAUGAUUUCAUCUUCUCAAACAAUCUGUAACGUAAAAACAUACUGAUUAACCAUCUUAAACAUCAUUUUCAUUUCAUCUUCUCACUCAUUAACUCUCUUAAAUAUAAUUUUCUCUUCAUCUUCUCAAGCAAGCUGUUAGUGUAACUCUUGGAUUGGUCUUCAAACCGUUACACAACAUCACAAUUCACAAUCAAUCUACAUAUACAAACCAGAACAUUCAGCUUUCCAUCUCAGCUCAAAACACUCAGAUUCAUCAAAUGAAAACCCAUCUUCCAUCUUGUAUAGGACUCAGCUUUACCAACCAAAUUUCGUUAACUCAGAAUCUCGGAUCAACAAAUUUGAAACUCCGCAGUUCAGGUGAUCGUUUAAAUGGGGUUUAGGCGCAUUUUGGAAAUUUUAAUAGAUGCAAUUUUAAACAGUUUUUGAUAA